CAGUCUUACCUGCGGACAAUCAGCUUUUUGAGUGUGAUUAUGUGGAUUGUGAGGAGUUUAAUCACCCUCAUUGUUUUGCAUAUUCGUGCUCUUGGGUGUACUUGCUCGUGUGGUUGGUUAACAUCAAUUUCGGAUGCCAAUAAAAUGACUGGAGGAAUGUAGCUUCGAUCUCGUAUUGAAGUGUUAUA
rnacentral:rRNA from 1 species